GUAUAAGAGACAGCAGUAGCCACGGUAACACGUAGGUGGCAAGCGUUGUCCGGAAUUAUUGGGCGUAAAGGGCUCGCAGGCGGUUUCUUAAGUCUGAUGUGAAAGCCCCCGGCUCAACCGGGGAGGGUCAUUGGAAACUGGGAAACUUGAGUGCAGAAGAGGAGAGUGGAAUUCCACGUGUAGCGGUGAAAUGCGUAGAGAUGUGGAGGAACACCAGUGGCGAAGGCGACUCUCUGGUCUGUAACUGACGCUGAGGAGCGAAAGCGUGGGGAGCGAACAGGAUUAGAUACCCCUGUAGUCCCUGUCUCUUAUAC
rnacentral:rRNA from 1 species